AAGGUUUUAAGUUAGUAAAACUAUAAGCCUUCAAAGCUUAAAACAAAAAGACAUUUUUAAACCUUGC
rnacentral:tRNA from 1 species